UGGACGUGAAAAGGCAGCUUUUCCACACAGUGAUCUAAGAAUUACUGACGAUCACGCCGUGUAAGAAAAUAAUUAUGACGUGUCUAGCUAGCUAAACUAUAAUGAAUUCCUUUCAAAUUAUAAAGGUGGCGCAGGCGUCCAACAAGCAGACGCAGCGUUGACGAAGCCAGGAAAACAACAUGAAAUGUGGUUACUGUGUUUACAUUUCUGUCGGCUACGACUGCUACGACUCGUAGUUAAACGGUUAAACAUUCUUCUGUUCUGCAGUCAAGUAUAGGCGAAGAUCGAACGUCGUUGGUGUGUUCGCAAUGUGCGGAUGACGCAUCGAAAGUGACCAUAGAAAGCGCCCAGCCAAGGUCCGGAUCGCAGUGAAUGUAUACGCGCCCUCGAAUCGGGGAAAUCGGCGCCAGCGAAGGCGGACGGACGCCUCUACGCAACGAGGAGAGGCCUCUGCACAACUGCGUCGUCAUAGCAGCAUUCACGCUGUGGCUGUUCAUCCUGGCGCGGAGCUGAAGGCCGUGAAAACUAUGCAUACGAGCAACAACACACACUAUAUAUUCACUCGUAUGGCACGACGUACCUACUCCACACAAUUGCAAUACCUGUACAGGGGCCCGGAGAGAGCAAAAUGUAUAUGGAGAAGAAAUUCGCACUCAGCAUGUAGCCGACCAUUCCAAAGGCUCUUCCAACACCCCACUUGCUUCAAAUCAGGAGUUAAAAAAAAAAAAAACGCGAAUUUCAUCAAUGAUGUACGCCACAUCAGCGCUGUCUACUCUUAUACGCGAUGUAUUUUUGAGGAGUGCCGAAAAUUCUUAAAUAUAGAGCGCUCAAAAUAAAAACGCGAUCUUUUUAAAGAAGCCGGAAUAUAGAGAACGGCGGACUUCGGAAAACAGACUACGGUCCUAAUUUUCUCGCUAAUUAGUUAUAUGCACUAAUUAACCUUAACUAUCGCGUUUAUAUGGCUUCACAGAAUGUAAACUUCCUGGCAAUUGACGCCGUGAUCUUAUAUAUGUUUUCAAAUUGCGCUAUAAGUCCUCCUCCUCGGUCCUGCAUGCUGCAGAAGAAAUUUUCUUACAUCUUCCGCUGGGAAACUGAAACUGGGCGCAUGUGGGGAAACCACGUGUGCAAACCGUACCACGCAAUGCGAGCCACCUUCAUUACUUCGAUGUGGCGAUUACGGCUUAUGAAGUAUCCUUGGCUUCACUGUGACGUUGGCACUGCAGAAUAUGGGCAAUGACCUAUCAUUGACCCCGCUAAUGUAAUUCUUUCCUUACUGCAAGAAAUGUGCUCAUUUUCGGUGACUUUAUGUUUUAACGUUUUAUUUCAAAGACGUAGUAGUCGCAGCGUAUGUGACACAUAAAACCACAGCCUGUUCACUGAUGUUUUGAAUGGAUGUAAAGCAACAAUACGUCGAUUUGGGCGAGUUGGUUUAUCUUGACGGUGUACACAAACCGCGCUAAAGACGAAGACGACAGGAACACAUAUAUACGAUAGGACGGGCGCUGAACUUCCAACUAGCGUUUAUUUGAAACGAUCGUCCAUUUUAUGCUCUUCACACCAGGUACUUCAUGCACGCAUCAUCAUAGCGAAGAUUGUAUGCAUCGGAGCGACGGUAACGCUCCGCCGUCCACUGCUGGCAUGGGCGCUAAGUCAAUCAGUUCAUACAUAAGAUUGCAUAGUCAAUAUUUUCGCGUGUCUAUAUACCUAUAUUUCUUUCGACGUACCUAUAUAGACUCGUAAAAGCACUGACUAUACAAUCUUAUGUAUGAGAUGACUGAGUUAUACAAGAUUUUACAUGAUGAUGCGUGCAUGUUGUACCUGAAGCGCAGAGCAUAAAAUGGAUAAUCGUUUCAAAUAAACGCCAGUUGGAAGUUCAGUGCCCGUUCUUCUUUAGCGCGUUUUGUGAACACUGUCAAGAUGUAAAGCAGUAAUAACUGUGGAGGCAGUUUUUUAGAAUGAUUAUGUUAAACUUGAGACGAACACCUCUAGGAACAUCACCGAAAACAAUAAGUACAGAGAGUAAAAAAAAUUCAGAAAUAUAAACAAAAUAUGCGCCUGACUCCUAAUGCUCAACUUUUGAAGUCAGACCACGCAAUAAAAUAUUAUGCAAAUUUA